rnacentral:lncRNA from 1 species
GACGGCAGUACGCAUGCGCGACAUCAGGGACAACAGUACGCAUGUGCGAGUCCCGAAACGGCGUACGCAUGCGCGAGCUUCCAGACGGUAGUACGCAUGCGCGACAUUACUGACAGCACUACGCAUGAGCGAGCCCCGAGACGGCAAUACGCAUGCGCGAGCCGCGAGACGGCAGUACGCAUGCGCUAGUUUCGAGACGGCAGCACGCAUGCGCGACAUUAUAGACGGCAGUACGCAUGCGCGAGCCGGGAGACGGCAGUACGCAUGCGCGACAUUACGGACAGCAGUACGCACGCGCGAGCCAUGGAACGGCAGUACGCAUGCGCGACAUCAUGGGCGGUAGUACGCAUGCGCGAGCUCCGAGAUGGCACUACGCUCGCGCGAGUUUCGAAACGGCAGUACGCACGCGCGAGACGCGAGACGGUAGUGCGCAUGCGCGAGGUUCGAGAGGGCAGUACGCAUGCGCGACAUUAUGGACGGCAGUACGCAUGCGCGAGACCCGAAACGGUGGCAGCAGAUACCGUGGCAACAACAACUCCGCCGCCUUUUAGCGGACUGCCUGGGACCGUGGGCGCGCAUCCCCUUCUCUCUUUCUUUUCUUGGCAGAGGAUGGUGGGGGGAAGAAGGGGAGACGACAAAGAAAAGCAAGGAAAACUUCGACAAACCCUCCAACCCCGUGCUAAAUGCUUUGGUAUACCUGUAAAUAAAUGAAUACAUAACCAGCAAGUUGUUGUUGUCAUGCCUUUUUUUUUUUUUAAUAUGUGUAUGUGUAUACAUUUAUAUAUACACAUGUAUAUACAUAUUUCAGCCAGCAUCUGAGGUGAUGAAAAAACAUGGUAUGAAUUGCACGCAGUGAAGCCAAGGGUGCCUUGGAACAAUUAACA